ACGUAGGGUGCGAGCGUUAAUCGGAAUUACUGGGCGUAAAGCGUGCGCAGGCGGUUGUGCAAGACAGAUGUGAAAUCCCCGGGCUUAACCUGGGAACUGCAUUUGUGACUGCACGGCUAGAGUGUGGCAGAGGGGGGUGGAAUUCCACGUGUAGCAGUGAAAUGCGUAGAGAUGCGGAGGAACACCGAUGGCGAAGGCAGCCCCCUGGGCUGACACUGACGCUCAGGCACGAAAGCGUGGGGAGCAAACAGGA
rnacentral:rRNA from 1 species